CGCUGCUGCCUCCAGGGAACCGGAGCAGCUGCAGGGCUGGAAAUCCCAACACUUGGCUGCUGUGUCGAACACGAAGCGCUGCGUCGACUGCUGCCUGCUCCAAAUCCUUCACCAGCACCUUUGUCUCUGUCCUGUGGAUCAGCAGACCAGCAGAUCAGCAGAUCAGCAGAUCAGCAGAUCAGCAGAUCAGCGCCCAGAAGAAAGCUCCUCUGAACGGCUGGGACUUGGUCGUCGCUGAAUACUUAUUGCCUGAAUGAGCCCAUUUACACGUCCUGUCCCCGUCAGUCAGCGCGGUCCAGUGUUGCUGCUGCUCCCCAGGUGAGCAAACACAGGAUUCAUGAGCCUGAAGGAACCAGCUGCAUCAAGCAGCUCUCAGGUAUGAGGAGGAGGGGAACCAGCUGUGCCAGACCUCCAGCAGCCGUCGGUCCUGUUCUGGCCCAGAUGAGCAGCGCUGCCCCGCUGGUCCAUCAGCCGUGUAGUUUCAGGAGGUCGGUCUUCUGUCCAGCAGCCUCUCAUUGUGGCGGCUGGUUGUGUUUUUAUCGGGUUUUACUGUGUGUCGCUCUGCUGACUUCUGCUCGUGGCUCCUCCGAGUGCUCGGGUUUCCCACAUACCUUGAACGCACCAGCACCAGGCCUGGGCGUGUUUGUCUGCAGGCUGGUGAAACGAGCGGGAGCUUUAGUGCCAAUAAAGACUGAAGUGCGACUCGUGGGAGCAACUUCUCGCAGGAAGACGAGGGCGCGGAGAGAAAUGAUGCAGCAAUAAGGGAUUCAAACUGAGCCGCAGUGAAUGGAUUAGCUCCAGGAAAAACAUCCAAACUUUUUACUUUACUUUAAUGGAACAAUAGUCUUUUCUGCUGAUUAUACACUUUUGACUUCUCUGUUAUUAUUAUUGUCAUUAUUUGCAGCUUGGGUGGCGUUUUACAGGCGUCGACAUCAGCUCAUUUGCAACUCACCGGCUCCACAGCCUGACGGCAGCACCUCACUGCACAGAACGAGGCCAAGCUUUAGGUCUGUCCGUCCUCACAGCUCACAGCUGAAGACUUAUUCACUCAAUACAACGUUUCCAUUUAUGCUGCACGGUUUCUCUUCCAUCACUUAAGGAUAAGCAGCAUUCCACCAGUGACAGCAGCUCCAGAGUAAAAUACAGCGUCUGCGCCUCUGAUCAGAGAUCAGAGAUCCUCCCUGUUUAAUAUCCAUCAGCACUGAGGAUUUCCCUUCCCUCUCUCACUCUCCACCCAAACACGCCGGCUUCUCCUCCACCCUGCUGUCGGUUGCCACGGAGGGGGUUGCCAGGCAACCGGUCCGGUCACACAACAGCCCCUUAAUCCAGCAGAAGAUGCAGAUUUUAUGGGACAGCGUCUGUGAGGAGCAUGGAUACAGGAAACCUGCAUGCAGAUCUGCAGAUCUGCAGGAAGCGCUUCCACUAAGCUUUAUCUCCUGACGCGGUGCAGGAGGCGUGAACCUGUUCACCUGCACCUCAGCAGCAAAGGCUGAUUCUGUGGAAAACAACAACAAGUUCAUCAGGCGUCCCGCGGGGAAACGUCUGCAGAAGCUGGUACCUGGUACAUGACCAGUAACCUGCUAACUGGAGUUCGUCCACGUUGCCCAAUAGUUACAGUCACGCUAAUGAAACACGUCUAACUUGGAGAAGCUCUUAAAAUAAAGCGUCAUGUGCUGCACUAAAGACGUUAAAGUGGACGCCUUCAUUCAAAGCGCCUCAUUAAGGCUGAAGAGGAAACGCUCCAGACGAGGCGAGUGUUCGCUUCCUGACAGCUUUAUUAAAAUUCCCAUCACUAAUGAGGUUUUUCCUUCAGGCUUAGAAGCUGAGUAGGUUCAGAUAGAAUCUAGUUAACACGCUCCUGCUGUGAGAGCCACAAAAAACACGAUGCCUUGUGUUUGUAUGUGUGCAGGACUGUGGCCGCUGGUUCAGAGCAGGAUCACAUGCUCCGUGGAUUGAACGGCCCAGUAACGGUGCAGCGCGUGCUGCCUGGUUCUGAGGCCCGGCCGGAGGCUCUGUGCUCUGUGGGAGCACGUCAAUGACAAUUAUCUGACGGCUUCCGCGCUGGAUGGCUCACGUGAACCAGUGAAGCGGGUCGUUGAGUCCCUGUCACACUCUGAUGCACAUUCAUCACAAGAAUCUGGGACAAAUCAUCCGUUUGUAAUGGAUGGUUUGAGUUAAAGCACGCUGGGAAUUCCCACGAAGCCGCUGGAUGUAAAGUAGGAUACUUCAGGAGCUGGAGCCUGAAGACAGUCAGCGGGUCAGCUGUUCACCGCUGAUCACAGAUGAUCACAGCUGAUCACCGCUGAUCACCGCUGAUCACCGCUGGUCACAGCUGAUCACCGCUGAUCAUCGCUGAUCACAGCUGAUCACCGCUGAUCACCGCUGAUCACAGCUGAUCACCGCUGAUCACAACUGAUCACCGCUGAUCACCGCUGAUCACCGCUAGUCACAGAUGAUCAUCGCUGAUCACCGCUGAUAACAGCUGAUCACCGCUGAUCACAGAUGAUCACAGCUGAUCACCGCUGAUCACCGCUGGUCACAGCUGAUCACCGCUGAUCACAGCUGAUCACCGCUGAUCACAACUGAUCACCGCUGGUCACAGCUGAUCACCGCUG